rnacentral:rRNA from 1 species
GGUGAACGCUAGCGGCAGGCCUAACACAUGCAAGUCGAGGGGUAGAGUUAGCUUGCUAACUUGAGACCGGCGCACGGGUGCGUAACGCGUAUGCAAUCUACCUUGUACAGAGGGAUAGCCCAGAGAAAUUUGGAUUAAUACCUCAUAGUGUUAUGAUGUGGCAUCACAUUAUAACUAAAGUUCCAACGGUACAAGAUGAGCAUGCGUCCCAUUAGUUAGUUGGUAAGGUAACGGCUUACCAAGACAAUGAUGGGUAGGGGUCCUGAGAGGGAGAUCCCCCACACGGGUACUGAGACACGGACCAGACUCCUACGGGAGGCAGCAGUGAGGAAUAUUGGUCAAUGGGCGCAAGCCUGAACCAGCCAUGCCGCGUGCAGGAUGACGGUCCUAUGGAUUGUAAACUGCUUUUAUACAGGAAGAAACACUCCCUCGUGAGGGAGCUUGACGGUACUGUAGGAAUAAGGAUCGGCUAACUCCGUGCCAGCCGCCGCGGUAACAC